CCUACGGGAGGCAGCAGUAGGGAAUUUUUCACAAUGGGCGAAAGCCUGAUGGAGCAAUGCCGCGUGAAUGAUGAAGGUCUUAUAGAUUGUAAAAUUCUUUUAUUUGGGCAGAAAAACUAAAGUACGAAAUGACUUUAGUCUGACUGUACCAUUUGAAUAAGUAUCGGCUAACUCUGUGCCAGCAGCCGCGGUAAUACAUAGGAUGCAAUCGUUAUCCGGAUUUACUGGGCGUAAAACGAGCGCAGGCGGGUUACAAAGUUUGGUAUGAAAGGCUUUUGCUUAACGAAAGUUUGUAUCAGAAACUGGUAAUCUAGAGUGGAGGAGAGAGUUGUGGAAUGCGCGGUGGAGCGGUGGAAUGCGUAGAUAUAUGGAAGAACACCAGUGGCGAAGGCGAGAACUUAGGUUAUCACUGACGCUUAGGCUCGAAAGUGUGGGGAGCAAAUAGGAUUAGAUACCCGAGUAGUC
rnacentral:rRNA from 1 species